rnacentral:rRNA from 3 species
GGGAACUGUGAGACAGGUGCUGCAUGGCUGUCGUCAGCUCGUGUUGUGAAAUGUUGGGUUAAGUCCCGCAACGAGCGCAACCCUUAUCCUUUGUUGCCAGCGGUCCGGCCGGGAACUCAAAGGAGACUGCCAGUGAUAAACUGGAGGAAGGUGGGGAUGACGUCAAGUCAUCAUGGCCCUUACGACCAGGGCUACACACGUGCUACAAUGGCGCAUACAAAGAGAAGCGACCUCGCGAGAGCAAGCGGACCUCAUAAAGUGCGUCGUAGUCCGGAUUGGAGUCUGCAACUCGACUCCAUGAAGUCGGAAUCGCUAGUAAUCGUGGAUCAGAAUGCCACGGUGAAUACGUUCCCGGGCCUUGUACACACCGCCCGUCACACCAUGGGAGUGGGUUGCAAAAGAAGUAGGUAGCUUAACCUUCGGGAGGGCGCUUACCACUUUGUGAUUCAUGACUGGGGUGAAGUCGUAACAAGGUAACCGUAGGGGAACCUGCGGUUGGA